AUGGAUUUUCAACAAAAGGGGUCGAGGAAUAGUGCUGGCCUUUUUGGCAAGUGCACAUCCUUUUCCCUGAUUAUCCUCUUCUUUACCACUGUGAACCUUUAGUAGGGCUGGAAACGGCUCUAUGUUUUUUUACACACCACGUAUAACCUUUGAAUGUCCCUUUUUUGCUUUCAAGUAUGCUCGAGAGAGCAGAAAGAAAAUGAAAUAAAAAAUAAUAAUA
rnacentral:misc_RNA from 1 species